AUGAAGGCCAUCACCAAAACGUUGUGCUCCCGUUUGCAACGCUACAUUCACUCUCUAGUUGACCCCGAUCAGACCGGGUUCCUCCCUGGCCGCCGCAUCUCUGAGAAUAUUGUCUACGCUGCUGACCUUCUUCGCGUUUGCCACACCCGGCGAGCUCCUACUGUGGUGUUUAAAAUCGAUUUCCGGAAGGCGUUCGACUCCGUCAACUGGGCCAGCCUCCUUGCCGUCCUCUCGGCUCGGGGUUUUGACUCUAAGUGGUGCGGUUGGAUUCGCGCUAUUUUGUCUACCGGUCACACCUCGGUUCUCCUGAAUAAUGUUCCUGGGGACUGGAUCCUUUGUCGCAACGGCCUGCGUCAGGGAGACGCGCUCUCCCCCUACCUUUUUAUUAUCAUUGCGGAUGUCCUUCAACGUCUCAUUCGCCGUGCUUCCGACGAGGGGCGGCUCGCCCACCCCAUUGACCCUUCCCUCCCGUGCCCCGUUCUACAAUACGCCGACGAUACCCUUAUCGUCUGCCGCGCUAACAUUCCCUCGGUUACCCACCUCAAAACCUUGCUGGACGCUUUUGCCCUCGCUACCGGACUCGCCAUAAACUUCCACAAAUCUGGGUUCAUCCCGAUGCACUGCAGUGGUGAACUGUCGGCGGCCUUGGCUGGGAUCCUGGGCUGCCCUAUCUCUUCUUUUCCUCAACCCUACUUAGGACUCCCCCUGUCUCCCCAUAAGCUCCCCAUCUCCGCCUAUGACCCCCUCAUCCGUUCUUUCGACCGUUACCUUUCGGGCUGGCGUGCCCUGCUCCUUUCCUCUAGUGGCCGAAUGGUACUUUGUAAUGCCGUCCUUAAUAACCUCUCUACUUAUUUUAUGUGCUCCUAUCUGCUUCCCUCUGGUGUGAUUGAGAUGAUCGACCGUAGACGUCGUGCCUUUUUUUUGGACUGGCAAGGAUACGUGCUCUGGCGCUCGCUGUCUUGUUACUUGGGAUAA
rnacentral:rRNA from 1 species